rnacentral:rRNA from 1 species
CAAUAGCAUAUAUUAAAGUUGUUGCAGUUAACGCUCGUAGUCGGAUUUCGGGGCGGGCCGACCGGUCUGCCGAUGGGUAUGCACUGGUCGGCGCGUCCUUCCUUCCGGAGACCGUCCCUACUCUUAACUGAGCGGGGGCGGGAGACGGGACUUUUACUUUGAAAAAAUCAGAGUGUUUCAAGCAGGCAGCUCGCUCUUGCAUGGAUUAGCAUGGGAUAAUGAAAUAGGACUUUGGUGCUAUUUUGUUGGUUUCGAACACCGAAGUAAUGAUGAGAAGGGACAGUCAGGGGCACUCGUAUUCCGCCGAGAGAGGUGAAAUUCUCAGACCAGCGGAAGACGAACCACUGCGAAAGCAUUUGCCAGGGAUGUUUUCACUGA